AUGCUAUCCCAUUCGAUUUAUAAAAAUAAAAUUCACUGAUUACCACUAUCUUAACCAAUUUAAAAAAAAAAAAAUAAUCCAUAUGCCAUUCAAGGCAAAAACGGAAAAACAAAAACAGAAUUACUAAAAUAACGAAAUUCAUAUCUAAUUCAAAGCAACAAGCAAUUCAUUUACUUAAGCCUAAAAUCCUAAACCUAUGAAUGCUACCUAUGGUCUUAACCUAUUGCUUUAAAUCCUUGGCGUGAAAGACGCCCAAAGAUUUCCCUUGAAGAUCUUCCACUUCAUAUAAGGAGUUCCCUACAGGCCGCACAAUUCUACACUUGAAAAACUUCUUAUCAAGUUUCGCGUUGUAGUCCUUAGAGAAGUUACUUUGCCGAAAACUACGGCGAAACACUUCUUGUCCGGGCAAGAAUCUAACUUUUCGGCAACGAAGAUUAUAGGAUUUUUCUCCCCUAAGGUAAGCUUUAUGCAGGUUAGCUCUGAUCAGCUCUCUGGUUCGCUCCAUCUUCUCCGAGUUAGGCAUAAGGUCGAUAUCGGGUUCAUUUAACACUUGAAGUUUGCGCGCAAUUUUGUAUACGCUGCCGUGAUUUAUCAUGUUAACGCCGAACAAAGCGUAGUAAGGCGUCACGUUUAUUGCACUGUGCACCGACGAGCGCAGUGAGCAUUCCACUUCCGAAAGGUGCUUAUCCCACUCGCGGUGGUCUUCGCCAAGGUAAGCUCUUACCGCGGCAAGUACCGACUGGUUAACACGUUCCGACGCGUUGGCCUGUGGCGAAUGGGUAGCGGUUCUCAUAUGGUGCACGCCGAAAUUUUUAACCAAGUCCUGGAAUUCCCUACUUACGAACUGUUUGCCAUUGUCGGAGACAAUGACUUCUGGAGUGCCAAACUUAUGGAAAACUUCUGAAAUCAAAAACUUUACCACAUUUUUGGCACUCGCCUUAGCCAUUGCCUUCAACAGCACGUACUUAGACAGAUGGUCUAAAACAAUAAAUAUGAAGGAAUUCCCCGACUUGGAGCGCGGAUAGGGGCCGAGGAAAUCCACGUAGAUGCGCUGGAAUGGUCGUUCCACUUCGAAUUCUUUGCCCAUGGGUGGACGUAAAGUUGUGGUUGCCGGCUUCGUCUCCUUACAAACUCGGCAUUGUUUCACAAAACUUCGCACCUGCACCGCCAUGUUUGGCCAGUAAAAGUACUCUUUUACACGGUGCAAAGUUUUGUGAAAUCCGCCAUGAGCCGAGGUAGGUGGGCAAUGAGCCCUUUCAAUCACUUGUUCAGUCAGCUCGGCCGGCAUCCACAACUUCCAUGCGAAAUCCUCACGCAAAGGGACACCGUCGUAGUGUCGCGUCCUUUUGUAGGCGAUACCGUCGACAACCCGCAAGUCGGGUAAACUUGCCGCGUUCUCUUCGAUAUUCCGGGUAAGAUCUUGAUAGGCGUCAGACUUAAAGGCUGGCGAGGAGAGAUCCAACAACUGUCCUAAGUCCGUAGACAGUUCGUCCAUAUCGUACCUAGACAAGGUAUCCGGAACAAUGUUCUGGGUACCCUGCCUAUGUUCGAUAUCGAACGUAAAGGACUGAAGAUGGAGACUCCACCUCGCCAGUCUCCCGCUUAAAUCCUUAUGGGACAUCAACCAUUUGAGGCUGCUAUGAUCAGUGAUGAUGGUGAAAGCCAUUAAUUCAAUAUAAGGCCUGAAUUUCUUUAUUGCCAUAACCACAGCCAAGCACUCUCUCUCCGUCACUGAAUAAUUCCUUUGAGCGGAUGUUAACUUCUGUGAAAAAUAUGCAAUGGGAUGCUCUCCGCCCUCGUCAUCCUUCUGAAAUAGGACUGCUCCUAUUCCCAGGUCGGAGGCAUCACAUUGCACAUAGAAAUGUUUCUCAAAGUUCGGGUGAGAGAGUACUGGGCUGGUAAUCAGAGCCUGUUUCAACUGAUCAAAAGCAGCCUUCGCCUGGUCGGUAAACACAAAAGUCUUACCCUUUUUAAGAGUAUCGAAGAUCGGGGUAGCUACCGUUGCGUAGUCGGGAAUAAACCGCCUAUACCAGCCGGUGGCGCCCAUAAAACUUCUUACUUGCCUCGCCGUCUUUGGAUAGUCAAAUCGCGCUAUAGUUUCAACUUUCGCUGGAUCCGCCUUGAGGGUACCUCCACCAACAAUAUAGCCCAAGUAUCGGAGCUCUUUGAAGCAAAAUUUUGAUUUUGCCACAUUUAUUGUGAGCCCCGCAUCGGCUAACAAUUCGGCCACACGCUUCAGCAACUCCAGGUGAGUGUCAAAAUCUGGUGAAACCACCAAGAGGUCAUCCAAGUAAACAAAAACACGGUCUCUUAGUGCUGCGGGAAUCACUUUGUCCAUUAACCGGCAUAACCUCUGGGCCGCAUUACACAACCCAAAAGGCAUGACGGUAAAAUGGUAAAGAGGCCUCCCCGGCACCGUAAAGGCUGUUUUUUCCUUACUGGCCUCAUCAAGGGGUAUCUGCCAGAAAGCAUCCUUAAGGUCGACACUGGAUAUAUAAAAGGUGUCACCAAGCCGGCUGAGUAGACCUUCAAUAUGCGGAAGAGGAUAGGCGUCCUUGACGGUGAGAGCAUUUAGUUUACGAGCAUCAAUGCAUAGUCUAUUUUUCUCGCCCUUGCGGACUAGGGUCACUGGAUGACUCCAGGGACUAUCGCUCUGCUCAAUCACACCCAAGGCUAACAUCCUAUCCAACUCCGCAUACAUUAAUCUCUGCACAGCUGGUGACACUGGGUAGUGCUUACUUUUAACUGGAGUUGAAUCACGUGUGUCGAUUGUGUGUACCUCAGACUGUGUCCUACCCAAGCCUUUCUUAGAAAAGCAAGGGAAUUUCUCAAUCACUUCUUCCAAGCGUUUCCGCUGGAAGUAGGACAAUACAUGGACUUUUCUGUCAUCAUUGACCCAGCCGUCAGCGUCAUCACAAAGGCUGACAUUGUUGGUGGACAAACUCUCAAUUUGGGCAAAGAGCUGAAACUUGCGCAUAAAAUCUAUGCCAAGAAAAAGCGACCUUCCCAAAGACGGCACCAAAAAGAAGGUUAUUUCAUGCGACAUUUUAUUAAAAGUAACCGUGGCCGUGACGCGACCUACUAUUUUAUGAGGGCUUUCAUCCGCGGUAUGUAUAUAUGAGUGGAAUGGAUGUACCACUAGAUUCGCACGGCCGACGAAGUCGACGCAACCUUUUCCCAAACAGGAUACCGUGGCACCGCUGUCGAGCAGACCCUCUAUUUCUUGACCAUUAAUAACUAACCGUGUAUAAAAGCGAGUGUCGUCACCCUCGUAGAGCGAUGCGGCCGCAAUUUGUCGCCGUAGAGCUUUCCUCUUUUUGUAACGCUCGCGCGCUUUCUUUACCUUAUUGGAGAUCCCAAAAAUCCUCGCCUUUGCCUCGUUAUACUCUUGUACCCGGACAUGUAAAGGCUUUAACUCUCUAAGCUUUGGGACAAGUGUAGAACUAUGCUUAUGCUGUUGGGAAUUCCUAAGAAGGGUGAUCUUUUCAUCAGGGGACGGGACUGGAGUUAAACUGGCGUCGACCGCACCUCUCCAGUCUGAGGUGGGAUCCUCUGUCGGUUUCCCUGACAUUUCGGGCAGUUUCUGACGGUUACUCCAUCCUGACCACACCUGUAGCAAAAGAAUUUUCUAGGCGCGGCACAAUCCACCCAGCUAUGACCUUCCAAACCACAAUUCCAGCAUUUCAGAUUUGUUUUGCCUUGAAUUGCAUCCACUUCCAUGGCCUCCGAAGGCAACUCUUCCUCCCAGGCUAAUUCGUGAACGCGCUGCGGCCCUAGAUUAGGGCGUUGAUACUGUUGACGGUGGCUUGCAAGAAGAUUUUCUGCCCUUUUGACUUCUCUGUAGAAGCUCCCCAAGUCGUCAACUCUCACUGAGAAUAUCAUCUGUGCCAAUGAUGUUUUCAGGUUGCCCCUCAUAAUUUCCACCAUCUCCGCCUCUCGAUAGGGUUGCUUCUGCUGGUUUCGCAACUGAAUCACCGCAUUAUAAAAAUCUUCAAAUGUUUCUUGGGGCUGCUGGCGACGAUUGAGAAUUUGUGUUUGAAUCUGGAAUUCGUUUUCAAACCGCUGGUAUUGCGUCAGCAGAGCCCUCUCAAUUUCUUCCCAAGAUCGAAAUUGGACAAACUUGCGGUGGUUCCAGUACCAGUCUAGCGCUGGUUUCUCCAAGAGCUGGUGAAACUUAGUUAGGAAUUCGCCUUCCGGGCAAUCGUAAUCUCUUUUGAGCUCGCCUACGCGAAAUAUAAAUUCUUGGACGUUCAUGGUUUUGGAGGUUCCAUCAAACUUAAUUCCCCAUUUAGCCAGGUUUAACUUGGCGGCCGAAUCAGUGUGCGUGCUGCCUCCAGGCCUUCCAAAAUGUGAAUACGGACCUGGGAAAUGCGCUGGUUGCGACGGCGGCGGCAAAUGUGCUGGUGGCUCACGAGUGUUAGGCUGUUGUGGCCUCUCAUUCAAUGGCGUAUAAUAGAUUGGCUGGGCUGAACCCCAAGAAUUACGGUACACCGAUGGCAUGCUGAGACCGCCGGCCUCCGAAACUGGUGGUGCUGGUAUAGAUGAUGUUGGGACAGCGCUGCUGGUUGGUACAAAAGGCGGUGGCUGUGAGUAUAAGGACCCGGCCUGUUGAUAUGACGUGACUGGUGGAACUACUGGUGCCUGCAUAUGUGGCAAACCCCUAGACGGAUGCGUUUGCGAUGGCCCCAGAGAUAUAUGCUGUCCCUGGCCCAGUAGUGGGCGUCCAGGCUGUCCUGUUGCCAGCUGAGCCAUUGGUACAUUGUUCGUAGGAACGGAAUUACCCACUCCUAACGAUCGUUUAGUAGCUUCAACAAUGGUAGGUAUCAAGCUGUUGAUUCUUUCCGUCUGCUCCCUCUCGAACUCUAUUCGGGCUAGACCAACGGCUGAAGAGAUAAUUUCGCGCAUGCCAAUACUCAUAGUCGGGUUUGCUGGAGGCGCUGGGACGUUGAGACCAGUGAGUGGGCUAAAAGUUGGAGAUGAUACAUGCCCUUGCGAGCUGAAUGUGCUAUUCAAUAGCCGCGACAAAUCGUCCAUGCCUUGUGGUAGUGGUGGAGCGACGGAUGAACGCGCAGAUGCGAUCGGCGCCUUGCUGGCUGCCAUUGAGGUUGUUGUUGUUGUGGUAGUGAAAGUCACAGCUGGUUGGGUUGUGCUCACCCGAAAAUUCUGAGAAGUUCCUGGCUGCAUUAUGGAAUGGUCAGAAUCUUCUCUGUUUGUCGAACGAGUGUUAACCAUUGGAGUAAAAGAUUUGCCAAAAUAAAGAAAUGUAAAAUGCAAAAAGAAAAAAGAAAGGCAAAAAGUUGACGAAUGUACUAAACUGCCAAAAGACAAAUGUAAUAAAGAAUAUAGCCGAAAAGGAAAUUUCCUUUACGACUGUGCAAAAGCUGAAUGUAGAAUUAAAAAAAAAAAACGAAGGUGAAAACCAAAAUAUGGCCAAGAGGAAAUCCCCUCGUGACCUGAAAUGUAAAAUCUGGAAAACUGAAAAAACCAAAAUAUAAAGCUUCUAAAUCCAAAGGACAGAAGCUAGCUGAAGAAAAAUCAAAAGUUCCUAAAAAGCAAACAGCAGAAUGGAAAUGUAUCUGGUAUAUAAAAACUCCUGCUACUAAGGGAAUAAAUCUACCAAAGUAAAAGAAAACAGAAGAGAAAUGGAACUACAAAUUCAUGUAAGGGAUCGGUGGUAGGUAACAAACAAACAAAAAGGUAAGUAAAGGUAAAAUGAUGUACGUAUCGUAUAGUGCCAGUGUAUGCAUGUCCUAAUACAAAUAUUCAUUUUAAUUCCAGGGUUUCGUGAGUGUAAACGCGAAAACAAAAAAAACGAUGAAACAUGGAAGGUUAGCUACGGUGGACAACACGUGGAAACAUAAAUCUUUGUCUGGCCUUACAGCCCAUGGACUAAGCCACGAAUGCGUACGAAGACGAAGAAGAACGUGUAUCCCGUGAUAAAAAAAGGUUUGACAAGCUGAUAUCCCCACCUAACGGGCAAAAGCUCCCUGAUCAACGUAUUGAGGACCUACCCGGAUUAGAGCUCUGAUCCUAGCGCCUACGGUUCCUCUAAAACGGAACUCACUAAAUUUAAGUUGGGACAGAUAACCCUUCUUGUCUCCCCCAGGUCGUCCGUUUUGGUCCGGAGUCCGGCAUUUACCCUUGCAACCCGGGGAGGUUGCAAGCAUCAGGAGCUCCCACGUUGAUUGGAGUGGCGAUGGUGACUGGGCGUGGCUGAUGACCGACGAUAGGUGUAUUGUAAUUAUUCCUUAUUUUGCUUAUACUUCAUAUAUUUUCCAGACUCUCUAUUUAGGCUAUAAAUCCAAUUCAGUUUGUAGGUUAAGCCUUUUUUUUAUUUGUAGGUUAAGCUCUAUUUAGUUUGUAAGUUAAACUCUAUUUAGUUUGUAAGUUAAACUCUAUUUAGUUUGUAAGUUACACUCUAUUUAGUUUGUAAGUAACACUCUAUUUAGUUUGUAAGUUAAACUCUAUUUAGUUUGCAAGUUACGCUCUGUUUAGUUGGUAAGUUUUAAUCUCAUAUAGUUUUUAGGUUGUAACUUCCUGAUGCACGUAGUUUUUAGGAUUAAUUCGCAUGUAGUUUUUCAAGAUUAAUUGACACGUAGCUUUUAAGAUUAUUCGGCAUGUAGAUUUUAGCCUUGUGUUUUUCUUUCUUAUUUGUAGUUGAUUAAUUCAUUUAGGUUGUAGCCAAAAAUGCAAAUUUUCUUGAACACAAAUUCACGGCAAAUAAAAAACUCUUUCGCUA